AGCAACUGGACCGGACAAGCUAUCCCCUGGCAAGUAAACACUGGGACACCGAACCCCCACUGUACCCACUCGUGCAGCCUGGCGUGGAUGUAUCUGGGUUGCCUCCGUUGCACUCGCCGCGAUUCAAACGGCCGACGUGCGAAACCGUAAAAAAAACAGUAUAAAAGUGGCGAAUAAAGAACGCUUUACAGAACUGCUUCACACGAGGAUAAUGGAUAACCUUGUCAAGCUAGGCCACCCAGCCAUCUUCAUCGUAAUCGGGGACUAAACGCACGACCAGGGUGCCGAUCCUUUACGCCAUCCUCGCUAAGUCGACGAUGAACACCGGCCUAAUGUGUUUUGGUGGAAGGAUUAAGUCAUAUCACUUCGACCAUAGAAAGAAGCUGGCAAUGAAUGGCGGUUGGCAAGGUGGACGUAAAAAAGGCAGACUUGUUGGAUGACAUUGAUUGGGAAUGGGAUGGACUAAGCAAGGUUCUUAAUGGAUCUUUGGGAGACCAAUGCCAUGGCACAGUUUGAGGCAUUAGUAAAUAAUCAACUGAAGCGGAGCACCUCAUACAAUCUGCAGAACUAAAAGCGCGUGCUAGAGCCAAUUUUGGACACCAGCGAACACAAGAGCCACCCUGCUUAGUUCAGAAAUACGUCGGUCAAGUACACCAAUCUAGAGGGCGGACCAUAGGCAAAGAAAGGAGCCAAUAAAGAGGAAGCUUAGAUUGCUGAAGGGACAGAUUCGGCCAAGGAUCCGGAUUCCCAUUCUGAGCACCACAUUAAGAGUGGCAUGCUGCACGCCGGAAACCAAUCGAAGGAGGAGGAGCUGCAGUCGCUAAGGCUUUCCCUUGACUAAGGGACCAGAUCGCAAACAAGCUAGGCAAGCAACAGCGGAUGGAGCUCAAAAGGCUACUGGUUGGCGGACGGAACAGAACUGGCGGUAGUAGCGGGCUUUCUAUACAAAUUUGAUGGCGUGAAGUGACUGGACUGGCCGUCGGAGCAGCUUGAGAAUCGUCACAUGGCCGCACCGCUUUCAAAAAAGGGAAGGAAUUCGAAGCAGAGUCGCGGCCAGCAGAAGGCACAGAUUUAACAUGGACCACAUUGGGGCGGGAAUCAUUUAAGUAGAAAUGCAAAGGCUUAACUUCAAAAAGAAAUUAUUUUGUGGGCUUAUCUUAAUAAAAACUUGUAUCUAAAAUUUUGGCCAAAA
rnacentral:sRNA from 1 species